rnacentral:rRNA from 1 species
UAUGAACGCUGGCGGCGUGCCUAAUACAUGCAAGUCGAACGAAACUUCUUUAUCACCGAGUGCUUGCACUCACCGAUAAAGAGUUGAGUGGCGAACGGGUGAGUAACACGUGGGCAACCUGCCCAAAAGAGGGGGAUAACACUUGGAAACAGGUGCUAAUACCGCAUAACCAUAGUUACCGCAUGGUAACUAUGUAAAAGGUGGCUAUACUACCGCUUUUGGAUGGGCCCGCGGCGCAUUAGCUAGUUGGUAGGGUAAAGGCUUACCAAGGCAAUGAUGCGUAGCCGAAUUGAGAGGUUGAUCGGCCACAUUGGGACUGAGACACGGCCCAAACUCCUACGGGAGGCAGCAGUAGGGAAUCUUCCACAAUGGGCGAAAGCCUGAUGGAGCAACGCCGCGUGGGUGAAGAAGGUCUUCGGAUCGUAAAACCCUGUUGUUAGAGAAGAAAGUGCGUGAGAGUAACUGUUCACGUUUCGACGGUAUCUAACCAGAAAGCCACGGCUAACUACGUG